rnacentral:rRNA from 1 species
AGCUCCAAUAGCGUAUAUUAAAGUUGUUGCAGUUAAAAAGCUCGUAGUUGAAUUUCGGAGGAGAGGCCCCGGUCUCGGUUCUGCCGUGUACUGGGAGCUUCGAAUCUUUUUUCUGGGGAAGCAGGGUGUCCUUUACUGGGCGCUCUGGGGAACCAGGACGAUUACCUUGAGAAAAAUAGAGUGUUCAAAGCAGGCGAUUGCUUGAAUACGUUAGCAUGGAAUAAUAAAAUAGGACUUUGGUUCUAUUUUGUUGGUUUUAAGGACCAAUGUCAUGAUGAAUAGGGACAGUUGGGGGCAUUCGUAUUCCGAAGCUAGAGGUGAAAUUCUUGGAUUUUCGGAAGACGAACUACUGCGAAAGCAUUUGCCAAGGAUGUUUUCA